UUAUUCUUGAUGUUUUUCUUUUCUUUUUCUUGACCUUAUGAGAAAAUUUGAAAAAAGGGAGAGGGCGGGAGGUGUGCGUGCUUGUGAUACAAAUGCCAAAAUUAAAGUUAAU
rnacentral:ribozyme from 1 species